rnacentral:rRNA from 1 species
GAAAGGGAAACAGCCCAGGCCCCCCGCUAAGGUUCCAAAAUAAUUUUAAGGGGAAAAGGAUAUGGGGUUGCACAACCAAUUAGGAUUUUAGUUAGAAGCAGUUUUUCAUCCAAAGAGGGGUUAAUAGCUCCCUAGUCGAGUGACCUGCGCCGAAAAUGUACCGGGGUAAAACAAUUUACCGAAGCUGUGGAUACCUUUAUAGGUAUGGUAGGAGAGCGUUCUAUGUGUGAUGAAGGUAUACCGUGAGGAGUGCUGGAACGCAUAGAAGUGAGAAUGCCGGUAUGAGUAGCGAAAGACAGGUGAGAAUCCUGUCCACCGUAAGACUAAGGUUUCCAGGGGAAGGCUCGUCCGCCCUGGGUUAGUCGGGACCUAAGGAGAGACCGAAAGGUGUAUCCGAUGGACAACAGGUUGAUAUUCCUGUACUAGAGUAUGUAGUGAUGGAGGGACGCAGUAGGCUAACUAAAGCAGACGAUUGGAAGAGUCUGUCUAAGCAGUGAGGUGUGAAUUGAGUCAAAUGCUUAAUUCUAUAACAUUGAGCUGUGAUGGGGAGCGAAGUUUAGUAGCGAAGUUAGUGACGUCACACUGCCAAGAAAAGCUUCUAGCGUUUAAACAUACUCUACCCGUACCGCAAACCGACACAGGUAGUCGAGGCGAGUAGCCUCAGGUGAGCGAGAGAACUCUCGUUAAGGAACUCGGCAAAAUGACCCCGUAACUUCGGGAGAAGGGGUGCUGACUUAAAGUCAGCCGCAGUGAAUAGGCCCAAGCAACUGUUUAUCAAAAACACAGCUCUCUGCUAAAUCGUAAGAUGAUGUAUAGGGGGUGACGCCUGCCCGGUGCUGGAAGGUUAAGAGGAGUGCUUAGCGUAAGCGAAGGUAUGAAUUGAAGCCCCAGUAAACGGCGGCCGUAACUAUAACGGUCCUAAGGUAGCGAAAUUCCUUGUCGGGUAAGUUCCGACCCGCACGAAAGGCGUAAUGAUUUGGGCACUGUCUCAACGAGAGACUCGGUGAAAUUUUAGUACCUGUGAAGAUGCAGGUUACCCGCGACAGGACGGAAAGACCCCAUGGAGCUUUACUGCAGUUUGAUAUUGAGUGUCUGUACCACAUGUACAGGAUAGGUAGGAGUCUAAGAGAUCGGGACGCCAGUUUCGAAGGAGACGCUGUUGGGAUACUACCCUUUGUUAUG